UCGAUCAAUUAAAGCCACUGC
rnacentral:siRNA from 1 species